AUGGCUCAGGAUGAACGCUGGCGGCGUGCCUAAUACAUGCAAGUGAAACGGGUAUCUUCGGAUACCAGUCGCGGACGGGUGAGUAAUACAUAGGCAACCUGCCUUUAUGAGGGGGAUAACCGAGGGAAACUUUGGCUAAUACCGCAUGAAGACUCUAAGGCAUCUUAGAGGGAUAAAAGUUGGGAAACAACGCAUGAAGAUGGGCUUAUGGCGCAUUAGCUAGUUGGUGAGAUAGAAGCCCACCAAGGUAAUGAUGCGUAGCCGACCUGAGAGGGUGAACGGCCACAUUGGGACUGAGACACGGCCCAAACUCCUACGGGAGGCAGCAGUAGGGAAUUUUCGGCAAUGGGGGGAACCCUGACCGAGCAACGCCGCGUGAAGGAAAAGAAGGUUUUCGGAUUGUAAACUUCUGUUAUAAGGGAAGAACGGAUUGGAUAGGGAAUGAUCUGAUAGUGACGGUACCUUAUUAGAAAGCCACGGCUAACUACGUGCCAGCAGCAGC
rnacentral:rRNA from 1 species